rnacentral:rRNA from 1 species
AUAAGGCGGCGUGCUAUACAUGCAAGUCGAACGCACUCUCGUUUUAGAUUGAAGGAGCUUGCUCCUGAUUGAUAAACAUUUGAGUGAGUGGCGGACGGGUGAGUAACACGUGGGUAACCUGCCCUAAAGUGGGGGAUAACAUUUGGAAACAGAUGCUAAUACCGCAUAAAACCUAACACCGCAUGGUGUAGGGUUGAAAGAUGGUUUCGGCUAUCACUUUAGGAUGGACCCGCGGUGCAUUAGUUAGUUGGUGAGGUAAAGGCUCACCAAGACCGUGAUGCAUAGCCGACCUGAGAGGGUAAUCGGCCACACUGGGACUGAGACACGGCCCAGACUCCUACGGGAGGCAGCAGUAGGGAAUCUUCCACAAUGGACGAAAGUCUGAUGGAGCAACGCCGCGUGAGUGAAGAAGGUUUUCGGAUCGUAAAACUCUGUUGUUGGAGAAGAAUGUAUCUGAUAGUAACUGAUCAGGUAGUGACGGUAUCCAACCAGAAAGCCACGGCUAACUACGUGCCAGCAGCCGCGGUAAUACGUAGGUGGCAAGCGUUGUCCGGAUUUAUUGGGCGUAAAGCGAGCGCAGGCGGUUUCUUAAGUCUGAUGUGAAAGCCUUCGGCUCAACCGAAGAAGUGCAUCGGAAACUGGGAAACUUGAGUGCAGAAGAGGACAGUGGAACUCCAUGUGUAGCGGUGAAAUGCGUAGAUAUAUGGAAGAACACCAGUGGCGAAGGCGGCUGUCUGGUCUGUAACUGACGCUGAGGCUCGAAAGCAUGGGUAGCAAACAGGAUUAGAUACCCUGGUAGUCCAUGCCGUAAACGAUGAGUGCUAGGUGUUGGAGGGUUUCCGCCCUUCAGUGCCGCAGCUAACGCAUUAAGCACUCCGCCUGGGGAGUACGACCGCAAGGUUGAAACUCAAAGGAAUUGACGGGGGCCCGCACAAGCGGUGGAGCAUGUGGUUUAAUUCGAAGCAACGCGAAGAACCUUACCAGGUCUUGACAUCCUUUGACCACUCUAGAGAUAGAGCUUUCCCUUCGGGGACAAAGUGACAGGUGUGCAUGGUGUCGUCAGCUCGUGUCGUGAGAUGUUGGGUAAGUCCCGCACGAGCGCACCCUUAUUACUAGUGCCAGCAUUAGUUGGGCACUCUAGUGAGACUGCCGUGACAACCGGAGAGGUGGGGACGACGUCAAUCAUCAUGCCUUAUGACCUGGGCUACACACCUGCUUAAUGGGAUGGUAACCAG